rnacentral:rRNA from 1 species
GACGAACGCUGGCGGCGCGCUUAAUACAUGCAAGUCGAGCGAGAACCAGGCCUUCGGGCCUGGGGAAAGCGGCGAACGGGUGAGUAACACGUGGGUAAUCUGCCCUCGGCACUGGGAUAGCCCGGGGAAACCCGGAUUAAUACCGGAUAGCCUUUCGAGCCUUCGGGCUCGUCAGAAAAGGUGGCUUCGGCUUCCGGCUGAGGAUGAGCCCGCGGCGGAUUAGCUUGUUGGUGAGGUAAUGGCUCACCAAGGCUCCGAUCCGUAGCUGGUCUGAGAGGACGAUCAGCCACACUGGGACUGAGACACGGCCCAGACUCCUACGGGAGGCAGCAGUAGGGAAUCUUGCGCAAUGGGCGAAAGCCUGACGCAGCGACGCCGCGUGCGGGAAGAAGGCCUUCGGGUUGUAAACCGCUUUCAGGAGGGACGAAGCCACUCGGGUUAAUAGCCCAGAGGGUGACGGUACCUCCAGAAGAAGCCCCGGCUAACUACGUGCCAGCCGCCGCCGUAAGAC